GCCCUCCCCAUCCCAGGAGGCAGACAGGCGCAUGGGAAAAUCAAGGACGGCACUCAGCCAGACAGGCAAACAACUGCAGCAAACCAGUGCCAGCAGACGAAAACCCAGAAACACAGAGCAAAUGAAAUGGUCAGUGAACACAUCCGUCUCACAGACCCCAACUAACCUGAGAACUCCAGAGGAAGACCACAGAAUGACGGACAGGAGAUCAGAAACAGAGAAGAAAACGUGCCAGAGCGAACCCAGAUCUGCAACAAAGCCCCCGCCGUGAGGAACCCCAGCUGGGAUGAUCUGGCGUGCUCCCCGGGGCACUGGCCACAGGCUCCUCUGUGGCCAGGUGACAACACGACAAAGGGACACACACGGCAGGGCGGGGAAAACACACAACUUUAUUUCAACAGAGUGAUUAGGUUCCACCACACAACAGGGACACCAGGGGAUUGGUUUUUUCAUUUAAUAAAUACAAAUGAAUAAAAAUACUUUGUCAAGAGACUGCCUCUCCUCCUUCUCCCCAUUUCACAGAAGCCUCCAGGCAAUUGUGCGCCCCUCGGGGGCCCGCACCCACAGCCCCCGUCUACUUACACAAACGACUCUCCUUCACAGAGAGGGCUCCCUCUCAUUUGCCUGCAAAUACUACUUAGGUACAAUACCGCUCCUUUCCCCCAUCUCCUUGCAAACACAAGUUCUUGCCCUGCGUUCCAAAUUUUAAAUGAGUCCCUUAAGAGAAGGAGAGAAUCUGCUGUCCACAGAAGCCCAACGUGAAGCUACUUCUACCAGAAACUGUCACCCACGACACUCUGUGUGGGUUCAGUCACACAGACCACGAUCCACUAUGGAAGGGAGGGAGAAAAUGAUCACGUCAAACCUACUGUAUGCCUCAUAGACCAUCCCUUAUUUCAAAAAUAGAAAUUCCUAUUUAAAUGCCGCCUGUGUGCAACAGGCCUGAUAUUUGCUUCUGCAUGUGGCAGAUCUGUUAUUGCUUUACACUGUGGCCUCCUGGCCUGUGCUGCUCAGCGGGCCCUGUGAGAGAACAUGGGAACCAUCAAAAUCCUAAGUCACAAAAAAAGGGCUCUGUCCCCAACCUGGACCCGGGGGCCCACAUGCCCACCUCCACAGCCCAGUCAAGUGUGGGGAUAAGGCACUCCUCUGUGCUCUGGGCUAAAAUAUGGUAGAGUCCCUUCUGACUUUUGAGUUGCAAAGAAUGAUUUUGUGCUAAUAAAUUCCCAGUGCAUCCAAAAUGUACAAAAACCCUAGAAUUUCCAGUUUUUAGAU